rnacentral:rRNA from 1 species
UACGUAGGGGGCAAGCGUUGUCCGGAGUAACUGGGCGUAAAGGGCGCGUAGGCGGAGUAAUAAGUCAGGUGUGAAAGAUAUGGGCUCAACUCAUAGAACGCAUCUGAAACUGUAAUUCUGGAGUAUAGGAGAGGGAAACGGAAUUCCUGGUGUAGCGGUGAAAUGCGUAGAGAUCAGGAAGAACAUCAGUGGCGAAGGCGGUUUCCUGGCCUAAAACUGACGCUGAAGCGCGAAAGCAUGGGUAG